CGUCGUCGCGCGACGCGCACGGGUGAGUAACACGUAUGCAACCUGCCCGUGGCAGGGGGAUAAGCGGGGGAAACCCCGUCUAAUACCGCGUAACGCGGCCUAGGGACAUCCCAAGGCCGCCAAAGGGAGCAAUCCCGGCCACGGAUGGGCAUGCGGCGCAUUAGCUAGUCGGCGGGGUAACGGCCCACCGAGGCGACGAUGCGUAGGGGUUCUGAGAGGAAGGCCCCCCACACUGGUACUGAGACACGGACCAGACUCCUACGGGAGGCAGCAG
rnacentral:rRNA from 1 species